GGAUAUUUUUGAUUUUGAUCGGGAGGGAUCUGGGAUGCGGAGAAAUCUUUGAGGAUCUUUAGAAGGCAAGGAGAAAGUUUUGGAAGGAAGAAGCAGGGAUAGGACCUAGAACCUAUCUGGGACAUGGACUAGGUUAAGAAUGUUUUUUAGGUCUGUCUGGGUUCUAGGACCUACCAGGACCCACCUAGGAUUUGGAUAGAUAGAUGUAGGGUAUCAAUGUUCAUGAGGUCUGUCUAGGUCCUAGGUGGGUCCUGGUGGGUUGUAGGACCUGGGCAGGCCUUAUGAACAUCUCAACUUAGUGUAGGUUCUAAGUGUGUCCCCAGUGGAGCCUAGGUCCUAAGUAGUCUUUAUGGACGUCCCAAGCUAGUCUAGGUCCUAAAUAUGUCCUAAGUAGAUCCUAGGACCUGGGCAGACUUUAUGAACAUCCUAACCUAGUCUAGGUCCUAAGUGUGUCUCAAGUGGAGCCUAGGUUCUAAGUAGUCUUUAUGGACGUCCCAAGAUAGUCUAGGUCCUAAGUGUGUCCUAAGUGGAUCCUAGGACCUAGGUACACCUUAUGGACUUCCCAACCUAGUCUAGAUCCUAAGUGUGUCCCAAGUGGAGCCUAGGUCCUAAGUAGUCUUUAUGGACUCCCCAACCUAGUAUAGGUCCUAAGUGUGUCUCAAGUGGAGCCUAGGUCCUAAGUAGUCUUUAUGGACGUCCCAAGCUAGUAUAGGUCCUAAGUGUGUCUCAAGUGGAGCCUAGGUCCUAAGUAGUCUUUAUGGACUCCCCAACCUAGUAUAGGUCCUAAGUGUGUCUCAAGUGGAGCCUAGGUCCUAAGUAGUCUUUAUGGACUCCCCAACCUAGUAUAGGUCCUAAGUGUGUCUCAAGUGGAGCCUAGGUCCUAAGUAGUCUUUAUGGACUCCCCAACCUAGUAUAGGUCCUAAGUGUGUCUCAAGUGGAGCCUAGGUCCUAAGUAGUCUUUAUGGACUCCCCAACCUAGUAUAGGUCCUAAGUGUGUCUCAAGUGGAGCCUAGGUCCUAAGUAGUCUUUAUGGACGUCCCAAGCUAGUCUAAGUCCUAAGUGUGUCCUAAGUGGAUCCUAGGACCUAAGUAGACCUUGCGGACUUCCCAACCUAGUCUAAAUCCUAAGUGUGUCCCCAGUGGAGCCUAGGUCCUAAGUAGUCUUUAUGGACGUCCCAAGCUAGUUUAAGUCCUAAGUGUGUCCUAAGUGGAUCCUAGGACCUAAGUAGACCUUGCGGACUUCCCAACCUAGUCUAAAUCCUAAGUGUGUCCCCAGUGGAGCCUAGGUCCUAAGUAGUCUUUAUGGACGUCCCAAGCUAGUCUAAGUCCUAAGUGUGUCCUAAGUAGAUCCUAGGACCUGGGUAGACCUUAUGAACACCCCAACCUAGUUCAGGUCCUAAGUGUGUCCCAAGUGGAGCCUAGUACCUGGGCAGCCCUAAUGAACACCCCAACCUAGUCUAGGUCCUACAGGUAACCUACGUGCACCCUAAGACCUAGGCAGAACUUGUCAACAUCCCAAACUAGUCUAAGUCCUACAUGGGUCCUAGGUGAAUCCUAGAAAGACCUUCUGAACAUCCCAACCUACUGUAACUCCCAGAUGAGUCCU